GGCUGGUCCGAAGUAGUAAGUUAACCUCAACUGAUGGUUCACAGUCAGGUACAGAUUGAACUCCUUGUUCACCCUUUCCCCCUUCUCCUUACUGCACUAGACUAGCCUUAA
rnacentral:Y_RNA from 1 species